rnacentral:pre_miRNA from 1 species
GUUUUACUCCCUCCGUUCGGAAUUACUUGUCACAAAAAUGGAUGUAUCUACAACUAAAAUACAUCUAGAUACAUUCAUUUCUUGGACGAGUAAUUCCGAACGGAGGGAGUACUAC